AUGCUUGUUUCAGCAGCACAUGUACUAAAAUUACAACGAUACAGAGAAGAUUAUCAUAACCACUGCCCAAGGAUAACAGGCAAAUUCAUGAAGCAUUUCAAAAAGCC
ensembl:snRNA U6 U6 spliceosomal RNA